rnacentral:lncRNA from 1 species
UUUCAUUUAUCCAUUUGAGCAUAUCUCCCUUUUUCUUUCAGAGCUACUCUGGGUACUUCAGCUGUUUGAUUUGCUCUAUAGCUUUUUUCUCUUCAAAUUGCAUCAGCACUUUGCUUUAUUCCAUUUCUGUUUCAGCUGAUUUCUGUUUGUUUUAAAGGGUUUUUUAGUUCUCUUUGAUUUUUUAGAUUUUUUCCCUUUUUUCUUUGAGGAAUAAGAGCAUGGAUUGCUUCAAAUUGCUUUAAACCUCUCAACUGACCCCCUAGCCUGAAAACUGAAUGCCUGCCUUUAACCAUAUUCCCUAGACUUUCGAGGUACCUAAUGCCUACUCACCCUGGCCUGCUGGGCUCACUUUUGCCUCCCGUUGGCCAACUGAAUAGCCUUGUCCUGCCAUGCUGAGCUCCUGCCUGAAACCAAGCCUGCAGAGUGAGUAGUUUCCCUAUCCCCCUGGCUUAACCUACAGAGUAGUCUUUUGUCUUCUCUUGAUAGCAGCUCUGCCCUUCUCUUGCAGCAUACUCUCCUAGCUCUGCAGGCUUACUGAGUGCAGCCCCUGCCCUCCUCCAUCUCCCAGUUCUCAGUCCUAUGCCCCAGGGCCUUGAGUGCCACUUUUGUAACCAACUCAUUCCUUAGAGGAGUGAAGACAACAAGAUAUCCAAGACUUUACUUUGACGUUCAAAGGAGAGAAUGAAUGCCGAUAGCCAGGCUAUGGCUACUAGGAAACAAUUUGUAGCCCAAUUUCAUCAAGGAUAAAACAGUUUUAAUUUGGUGCAAACUGUUUCCAAAGUAGAAGUUACUGGAGGGGAGGAAAACACUGUGUUCUAUCACUGCCCUUGGAAGAAUCGUCUGUAAGGCAGCGGCUGGGUUUGGUUGAUUUGCUACAUUGGUGCCAGCUGCUGGUUGUUACAGUGACAAAAAGAUCCAGAAAUCCUAGUCAGAAUUCAAACCUGAUUCCAAACCCAGCCCCCUUUUCUGUUCUCUACUGCUGCCUGGUCUUCUCCAAAAAUAGUUGGGGAAUCUUGGUUCCAGCUCUGCUGACUCUCCUUUUGAUGAUGUCUUAGAAGACUUGAAUGUUUGGAUUCCUCUCUGGGAAGAAAGGGACAGUCCUGUGCAUUCUUUCCAGUGACCUCUUCUUGUCCUAGGUAAGAAAUUUUCUCCAAUUACAUCUUUGAAUAUAGUUAGGAAUUUUUUUGUGUAUGUGUGUGUGGCAGGGGAGUGAUUCUGGAAACCCAAUCAGUCUACACAGUCUACACAGUGGAGUCAAACUCAAAUAGGAACAGAUUUCUGCUGCCACAUAUGGGUGAAAGAGGUUUUAUAUGUCUAAGUGUACUUGGAAAAUCAUAAUUUAACAUUCUCUAUGUUAUACUGUAUUCUUAUUUUGUUAAACAGUUCUCAAUCAUAUUUUAAUGUGGUUCAGAGUUUUGCUGAUGGGGGUGAGUUUGCCACCUGUGCCAAGGUGUGAUCUUUAAUAUGCAUUCCUUAGGUCUGUUACUUUAUCCUGUAUUUCUAUGGUUUUUGAUAUCCUGCUAUUCUCUAGAGCUUUAUUUUAUUUUCAUUACCCAUAUUAAUGAGGCAGCAGUAAGGAAGUAGAUAGACAUUUGGCCUAAAAACCAGAAAGACCUGAGUUCAAAUCCUCUCUCUGGCACAGACUGGCUAUCUUAACCCCCUGGUGCUCCUGGGAAUUCUCUAAGACUGUAAAUUGAAGAGAAGGAGCCAACCUGCAUUGAUAAGAGUUUCCUCAAACUAGGGUUCACUGUAUCAAUGAAAUCAUAGGUCCACAAACUAUCUCUAAUCUAUUAAUUUAUUGUUAUCGUUCAGUGGUUUCAGUUAUAUCUGAUUCUUUAUGACCCCUUUUGGGGUUUUCUUGGCAAAGCUACUAAAAUGGUUUGCCAUUUCCUUCUCCAGCUGAUUUUACAGAUGAGGAAAUUGAGGCAGAGUUAAGUGACUUUCCCAGGGUCCCACUAGCUAGUAAGUAUCUGGAGCCAGAUAUGAACUUGGGAAGAUAAGUUUUCUUGACUUCAGGCCUGUCACUCUAUGUACUGUGCCACCUCAUUGCUGCUAGUCUAUACAUAUUAAACCCAAUUAAAAAUUCUCAUAUGGGGGGGGGGUGUGCAGCUGGGUAGCUCAGUGGAUUGAGAGCCAGACCUAGAGAUGGGAGGUCCUAGGUUCAAAUAUGGCCUCAGACACUUCCCAACUGUGUGACCCUGGGCAAGUCACUUGACCCCCAUUGCCUAGCCCUUACCACUCUUCUGCUUUGGAGCCAAUACACAGUAUUGACUCCAAGACAGAAGGUUUAAAAAAAAUAAAAAAAGAAUAAAAAUUCUCA